rnacentral:rRNA from 1 species
CCUACGGGUGGCAGCAGUGGGGAAUAUUGCACAAUGGGGGAAACCCUGAUGCAGCGACGCCGCGUGGGUGACGAAGUAUUUCGGUAUGUAAAGCCCUAUCAGCAGGGACGAAGAUGACAGUACCUGACUAAGACGCCCCGGCUAACUCCGUGCCAGCCGCCGCGGUAAUACGUAGGGGGCAAGCGUUAUCCGGAUUUACUGGGUGUAAAGGGAGCGUAGGUGGCAUGGCAAGCCAGAAGUGAAAACCCGGGGCUUAACCCCGCGGAUUGCUUUUGGAACUGUCAGGCUGGAGUGCAGGAGGGGCAGGCGGAAUUCCUGGUGUAGCGGUGAAAUGCGUAGAUAUCAGGAGGAACACCGGUGGCGUAAGCGCUUUACUGGGCCGUAAUUGACGCUGAGGAACGAAAGCCAGGGUAGCAAAUGGGAUUAGAUACCCCGGUAGUC